rnacentral:rRNA from 1 species
AUUGAACGCUGGCGGCAUGCCUUACACAUGCAAGUCGAACGGCAGCACGGGAGCAAUCCUGGUGGCGAGUGGCGAACGGGUGAGUAAUAUAUCGGAACGUGCCCAGUCGUGGGGGAUAACGCAGCGAAAGCUGUGCUAAUACCGCAUACGAUCUACGGAUGAAAGCGGGGGAUCGCAAGACCUCGCGCGAUUGGAGCGGCCGAUAUCAGAUUAGCUAGUUGGGGGGGUAAAGGCCCAGCAAGGCGACGAUCUGUAGCUGGUAUGAGAGGACGACCAGCCACACUGGAACUGAGACACGGUCCAGACUCCUACGGGAGGCAGCAGUGGGGAAUUUUGGACAGUGGGCGCAAGCCUGAUCCAGCAAUGCCGCGUGCAGGAUGAAGGCCUUCGGGUUGUAAACUGCUUUUGUACGGAACGAAACGGUCCUUUCUAAUACAAGGGGCUAAUGACGGUACCGUAAGAAUAAGCACCGGCUAACUACGUGCCAGCCGCCGCCGUAA